GACGAACGCUGGCGGCGUGCUUAACACAUGCAAGUCGAACGGAAAGGCCCUGCUUUUGUGGGGUGCUCGAGUGGCGAACGGGUGAGUAACACGCGAGGAACCUGCCCUUGACUUUGGGAUAACUUCAGGAAACUGGGGCUAAUACCGGAUAGGAGCUCCUUCUGCAUGGGGGGGGUUGGAAAGUUUCGGCGGUUGGGGAUGGACUCGCGGCUCAUCAGCGUGUUGGUGGGGUAGUGGCGUACCAAGGCUUUGACGGGUAGCCGGCCUGAGAGGGUGACCGGGCACAUUGGGACUGAGGUACGGCCCAGACUCCUACGGCGGGCAGCGGUGGAAAAUAUUGCACAAUGGGCGGAAGCCUGAUGCAGCGACUCCGCGUGCGGAAUGACGGCCUUCGGGUUGUAAACCGCUUUCGCCUGUGACGAAGCGUGAGUGACGGUAAUGAGUAAAGAAGCACCGGCUAACUACGUG
rnacentral:rRNA from 1 species